UGUCGACAGAGCGAGACUUCGUCUCAAAAAAAAAAAAAGAAGAAGAAGAAGAAAAGAAAAUAUGCGUUCCAUUUCCGUUUCUCCAGAUUUCUGAGGAGCUAAAUGAAAACAACCAGACUACAUAAGCCUUAUACCUUAGGAAUCCAUUAUACUAGAGCGACUGAAUUAAUUUUCCUCUGUAGUGGAAAUUUUAAUCUAAGCUAUGUAGACAUUGAGUAGUUAACUUCUUUUUUACCAUCACAAGAAUCUGUUUCAAUAUCAAUCACCUAUGUGGUCAAUGCCAUUUCCCUUGACCACACAGUGGAAUCAACUGUCCUUUACUUUCUAUCUUUUGUAAUGCUAUAGUUCUUACUCUUCCAUAGGUAAUGGAUACCUUUGAAAAACUGAUGAAAGCUAUGGGGCCCAGAAAAAUAAAUGUACCCAUAUACACUCAAAUAUUUUCAUACAAUUUCAGGAGUUUAAGAACCUCUAUCCCCCAAGAUCACCUACACAAAUAAUUUCUAUCACCAUAUGGCUCUCUUUUAUAAUCCCACACCACAACUCCUUUACACUCAUAUACACACACAAAUUAAGGACUAGUUCAGAGAUUAUUAACAUAAUACUCAAAAUAAUAAAAUUUCAUCUAAGUAAAGUUUUAUCUUACUAGCAAACUUCUAAGAGUCCCAGAUGAAUUCUUUCCUGAAAAGUUUACUAAAUCUUACUGUUUGGUCAACUUGCUUGCCUUAAAAUGUGCCACAAUGUCUUCCUAAAUUUGUUUUUGUUAACUCUGACACAUCUGCUUGUAAAAUCACAUAAGGCUCAAAAGUUACGUUCGAGCAAAAAAAGAAAAUUCGUGUCAAUAUUAACAAACUCUUGGAUUCAAAUACUUGUUCUACCGUAUCAAGCUAUGUUCAACACGGAACAGUGAAGUUAGCUAGGAACUGAAAAUGAUACAAUCUCAUAACUAUCUAGUUACCUUGUCAAAGCAAGUAAAACAUAAAAGAUGAAACAGGACAAAUGGCUAAAGGGAAGAGAAGAAUAUAAUCAAGGUGUUACUACUAACAGAGAUAAGUGUUUUGUUUUUUUUUCUUUUCUCGAAAGCAUACUUGUUUUAAAAGUGCAGAUUCUUGCUAGAUGUACCAAACCAUUUGUGGAAAGUAUCAGUUAACUUUUUACUUAAAUUUUUAAUCACUGAUUAAGCCACAGUUUUGUACUGGAUCCAAACCAAAUGGCCAGAUGCCACAAGAAACGGCUUUAUUUAUAUGUCACCCUCUCCUUGUCUAUUACAAUCAAGUUGGUAGUUAAAGCUGAAAUCUAUACAUUCAACAUGUGGCUUGUGCUUCAGAUCUGGACUAAGAAUACAGCUAUAAGGAGUAUCUGCUGAAUUUGUACAGGAAAACCCUUUCCCCUCACACCACCCAAAUUAGAAAGUUUACAAAAAGCGGAACCUUUCUGAGGAGUUGAGGAAACUCCAGUAUUUCCCAAUGCAAUACCAGGCCUCAUCGAUUUCAUUCCUCUGCACAUUCAGUGGCAGGAAAUGGACUGCUACCACCGGUUCACACUAUCAGCACAGUGAGAUUUGCACAGUUUGUGCCUACUGCUUUUGAGCGUUCUUAAUCAACUAAGUGGAAGUACUGUACGACUAUGCCUAUUACACACACUCGACAGUUGGUGGUACCUCACUCAGCCUCCAACUCCCACGCGCCCCCACCCUUCCAAAGAAACGUUUCUUGGGAGAGCACAUGGAGAGAGGCGAGGAGGAGGAAAAAGGCACGUAGGCGCCUCUUCCUGAGAUUUCUGAACUUUCAGAGCCUACUGGGAGAGACAGACCAUUAAAGAACUGCACUGCAUUACAACAGAUGUGAACAGGAAGCCUUUGAAGCACAUGAAAGAGCAUUUGCUCCAGUUAAUGCAAACAGUGGUUUAAAACAAGCAAAAACCUUUCCUUCAGGCUUCAGGGUCAUUGGCCUGGCAGAAACUGACACAGGAAAGGAGCCACUGCUCUCAGUAAGGAUGCUUUGUCCACUGAUUAUGAACCAAGCACCUCACCAAUUGUGGCCCUACAGCUGAUUUCUCUGCAUCUAUAAUCCUUUAUUUUUACCAUCCUGGGUCACACAAAUAGGUUGGUGGAUGGAACAUCUCUGAUGCUGAAGAAGGAAGGAGGCUACCAUCAUCAAUUGGGAUAUCAAAAAUUAAAUAUAUGUUAGAACCACUGACCUUGUGGUCUCUCCCUCUGGAUUCUCAUGAAUGUGGCACCGAAUCAGCAUUUAAAAGCCAGCCCUGGGGGAGACCAACAAAAGACUACUGGGCUGUGUCUUCAAACUGACCUUAGAGUCAUCUAUUACCCCUGAGGAUUUCUGACCAUCCUGAUAGUACCCCUCUGAGUUUCUAUGUCUCCCUUCUGCGGUGUGUUCUCAUCUAGACAGUCUGCAUCGUUCAUAGAUGAAACAUGGAUUUGAAAAAAGUAAGAACCACCUCCAAGGUCGCAGCAAAAUGUUUAUGCAUUAAAGUAUUCCUAAGAAUAAGCAGGUAUUUACCAAGUAUAUACUACCUCGUUAACACCAAACUAGAUGUCCUGCAGAUUUAAAAAAAAAAAAAAAUGCCAGACAUUCUGCUAUAACGUCAUAUUAUCUUUACCGAAGAAUCUCCUGUUUUGCAGAAUUGCACACCUAAGAUAGCAGGGCUUACAGGGAAAAUAUGGUUAGGGAAGACCACUUAAAUCCAAUGCAACUUUAUAGUCAGAGCACUAAUGAAAACAACCAUCCUAAUAAAAACACACAGAUAAAUCUCCACUGGCCUUUGCCCCAGCAUCACAGUCAUCAAUGCUUGGUAGCUUUUAUGCUUCCUCCUUCCUGUUGUGGAUCCUCAAGGGCAUUCACUUUUAAUAGAUGCCAUUUUCAUCAGAAUUAAAAAUCUAAUUGAGGAGUAGUCAGCUUUUUAAAAACACAUGGUGAAAGGUCGUCACAGCUUCAUUAGCACGGGACUCACGGCUUCACCAGAUAGUUUUUAAUGUUGUUAAAAACUUAGAGGUUGUAGACACUAAACCAGUCACUACUUAUACUGAAGGCAGAGCUUUGUGCAGGAUUCUUCACUUUUUCAUAAAAGUCUUCAUAUAUUGCUAAGACUUCUUAUUUGUGAGGAAGUUUGCUUCUGAUCACUUCAAAACAAAGUGCUGGCUCGGCACAGUGGCUCAUGCCUGUAAUCCCAACACUUUGGGAAGCCAAGA